CAGGAGUCAGGAAGACACCAUUCUAGCCUAGGCCAAUCAUGACCGGCUGAAAUUAGUCUACAGGAAGCAGACUUGCCUGCUCUGUGGAACUUGGAGCCCAGCCAGCCACCUAUAGAAUCUGCUGCAAGUGUUAUCGGGAAGGAAGCUAUUGACAAGUGAAGAUCAAACUGGUUUUAUGUGUGCAAAUAAUAUGUUACCUUGUUCAGAAAAAGAGUAUAAGAGUAAUCUCCAAGAUCGAAGAUACCUCACCUCCAGUAUUUGCCAUUAUAAGCAAUCUGUUAUGAACAUUCUUGCAUGUGUCUGCUGAUGCAAGUAUGCAAGAGUUUGGUGUAUUGGCUUAAGAGAGGAAUUUCCGGGAAGUAGCAAAUGCAUUUGUUCAAUCUUAGAAAAUAACGCCCAAUUAUUUUCCAAAGUGCUUGUAAUAAUUUACACUACUACAAGCACUUCACGUUGCUCCGAAUCCUUACUGAUACUUGGUGCUAUCAGACCAAUCAAUCUUUGCC
rnacentral:lncRNA from 1 species